rnacentral:rRNA from 1 species
AUUGAACGCUGGCGGCAGGCCUAACACAUGCAAGUCGAACGAGUGGCGGACGGGUGAGUAAUGUCUGGGAAACUGCCUGAUGGAGGGGGAUAACUACUGGAAACGGUAGCUAAUACCGCCCACCAUCAGAUGUGCCCAGAUGGGAUUAGGUAGUAGGUAGGGUAAUGGUUCACCUAGGAGACGAUCCCUAGCUGGUCUGAGAGGAUGACCAGCCACACUGGAACUGAGACACGGUCCAGACUCCUACGGGAGGCAGCAGUGGGGAAUAUUGCACAAUGGGCGCAAGCCUGAUGCAGCCAUGCCGCGUGUGUGAAGAAGGCCUUCGGAUUGUAAAGCACUUUCAGCGAGGAGGCGUUACUCGCAGAAGAAGCACCGGCUAACUCCGUGCCAGCAGCCGCGGUAAUAC